rnacentral:rRNA from 1 species
UACAGAGGGUGCGAGCGUUGUUCGGAAUUAUUGGGCGUAAAGGGCGCGUAGGCGGUGCGGUAAGUCACCUGUGAAACCUCUAGGCUUAACCUAGAGCCUGCAGGCGAAACUGCCGUGCUGGAGGGUGGGAGAGGUGCGUGGAAUUCCUGGUGUAGCGGUGAAAUGCGCAGAUAUCAGGAGGAACACCAAUGGCGAAGGCAGCUCGCUGGGACGGUACUGACGCUGAGACGCGAAAGCGUGGGGAGCAAACAG